rnacentral:lncRNA from 1 species
CCCAUGGUCAAAAGUCUACAUGGAGACUUUCUCUCUUGUCAGACACAUUUUUCACCGCAGAUGAUCUUAAGAAUUCUAAACACCAGGGCUUAACUCCUAGUCUAAAUACUUAGUAUGGCAAUUAUCAAAAAUCUGUACACUGUGUUUAUCUGCAUCCUUUAGGAAGUUGGGGGUGGCUCUUAAGUAGCACUGUCAAGAACAGUUUCUUUCCAUCAGUAUUGCUAA